UGGGGAAUAUUUCACAAUGGGGGAAACCCUGAUGCAGCGACGCCGCGUGAGCGAAGAAGGUUUUCGAAUCGUAAAGCUCUGUCCUAUGAGAAGAUAAUGACGGUAUCAUAGGAGGAAGCCCCAGCUAAAUACGUGGCAGCAGCCGCGGUAAUACGUAUGGGGCGAGCGUUGUCCGGAAUUAUUGGGCGUAAAGGGUACGUAGGCGGUCUAUUAAGUCAGGUAUGAAAGCGUGAGGCUUAACCUCAUUAAGCACUUGAAACUGAUAGACUUGAGUGAAGGAGAGGAAAGUGGAAUUCCUAGUGUAGCGGUGAAAUGCGUAGAUAUUAGGAGGAAUACCGGUGGCGAAGGCGACUUUCUGGACUUUUACUGACGCUCAGGUACGAAAGCGUGGGGAGCAAACAGG
rnacentral:rRNA from 1 species